CGUGUAGGUGGUUGGAUAAGUUGGAUGUGAAAGCCCUCGGCUCAACCGAGGAAGUGCAUCCAAAACUGUUCAGCUAGAGGACGAGAGAGGGAGGUGGAAUUCCUAGUGUAGAGGUGAAAUUCGUAGAUAUUAGGAGGAAUACCGGUGGCGAAGGCGGCCUCCUGGAUCGACCCUGACACUGAGACGCGAAAGCGUGGGUAGCAAACAGGAUUAGAUACCCUGGUAGUCC
rnacentral:rRNA from 1 species